rnacentral:rRNA from 1 species
GACGAACGCUGGCGGCGUGCCUAACACAUGCAAGUCGAGCGGAGUUAGUUUGUAGCUUGCUACAAACUAACUUAGCGGCGGACGGGUGAGUAACGCGUGGAUAACCUGCCUUUUACAGGGGGAUAACACGGGGAAACUUGUGCUAAUACCGCAUAACAUAUAGAAGUGGCAUCACUUUUAUAUCAAAGGAGCAAUUCGGUAGAAGAUGGAUCCGCGUCCGAUUAGCUAGUUGGCGGGGUAAAGGCCCACCAAGGCGACGAUCGGUAGCCGAACUGAGAGGUUGAUCGGCCACAUUGGGACUGAGACACGGCCCAGACUCCUACGGGAGGCAGCAGUGGGGAAUAUUGCGCAAUGGGGGAAACCCUGACGCAGCAACGCCGCGUGAAGGAUGAAGGCUUUCGGGUUGUAAACUUCUUUAGUCGGGGACGAAAAAAUGACGGUACCCGAAGAAUAAGCCACGGCCAACUACGUGCCAGCCGCCGCCGUAA